rnacentral:rRNA from 1 species
AACGUAGGAGACAAACGUUAUCCGGAGUUACUGGGCGUAAAGGGCGUGUAGGUGGUUUUGUAAGUCUGGCGUGAAAUUUUUCGGCUUAACCGGGAAAGGUCGUCGGAUACUGCAGGACUAGAGGACGGUAGAGGCGUGUGGAAUUCCGGGUGUAGUGGUGAAAUGCGUAGAGAUCCGGAGGAACCCCAGAGGCGAAGGCGGCGCCCUGGCUCGCAACUGACGCUCAGACACGACAGCAUGGGGAGCGAACGGG